GGACUACUAGGGUUUCUAAUCCUGUUUGCUCCCCACGCUUUCGCACCUCAGCGUCAGUAUCGGGCCAGUGAGCCGCCUUCGCCACUGGUGUUCUUGCGAAUAUCUACGAAUUUCACCUCUACACUCGCAGUUCCACUCACCUCUCCCGAACUCUAGGUCUCCAGUAUCAAAGGCAGUUCUGGAGUUGAGCUCCAGGAUUUCACCCCUGACUUAAAGACCCGCCUACGUGCGCUUUACGCCCAGUGAUUCCGAGCAACGCUAGCCCCCUUCGUAUUACCGCGGCGGCUGGCAC
rnacentral:rRNA from 1 species